UUAGUUCAACUUUAAUUGGAUUCAUGUGGUUUUGUGAAAUGAAUAAAGUAAUUAUGGUGUUCUUAUGAAAUGAAAACGGUUUUCUAAUGAAAUGAAAACGGUUUUCUACCCCUCAUGGUAGCAUUUUAAAGAAGAAGGUUUCCGUGUGGGAAACAGUUUUAAAAAGGUUUUCAUGGUUUUCAUGAUUCUUAGUGUUUCAAAAUGGGUUUCCGGGUAGGAAAUAUUUUAAAUUAAUAGAUAUGGAUUUUUGUAUAUCGGUGAUGAAAUGAAUGUGGAAUGUUAUGUGUUAAUGUAUAUGAAUGUUCAUAUGUUUGUAGUUGUAUCUUGUACUUGUGCAACGCCAUGCAAAUACAGGGGAGACUCUGUUCGUGUGAACAGUGG
rnacentral:lncRNA from 1 species